AUUGAACGCUGGCGGCAGGCCUAACACAUGCAAGUCGAGCGGCAGCGGAAAGUAGCUUGCUACUUUGCCGGCGAGCGGCGGACGGGUGAGUAAUGUCUGGGAAACUGCCUGAUGGAGGGGGAUCAUCACUUUAAAAAAACCCUUGCUUCCCCGGCCCCCUUCCGGUGAGCCCCGGAGUUUUCCAGAUUACGUGGCUACCGCACCCCCACCUUUUUGGUCCCUUAUUUCUUUGAAUCUUGAUCACUCAUCCGUAUUCUCCCCGGGGUAUGGCGUGCUCUUUAACCGGAGCUUUCUUUUUCUUUAUUCUGUGACCAAGACUCAUAC
rnacentral:rRNA from 1 species